GAGAGCCGUAUGAGAUGAAAUCUCAUGUACGGUUUGUAACGGAGAUUCUUUGAUUGAAUGGACGCGUAACGGAUGUCGCUCAAUCCGAAGGAAUUAUGCGGAGCUUUACAGAUUAUUAUGAAGUAUUGCGAUAGAAAUUGAUCCCUAUUGACCGAAGUUAUCUACUCUAAC
rnacentral:ncRNA from 1 species